AUAGACUUCUUCUUGUAAUAAAGAACAAUAUUAAAUUUAUCAAUUUCAAAACCUUCAAAUGCUAGUGACAAUGAAGGAUAUUUAUGUUCAUGCGUAAGCUUUCUAAGUGAGCAAAGCACUGAUAAGUCUAAUCGAUACAUAAGUCCAAUCAACUGAUGAGGAGAAUGAUUUUUGUAUUGACUAAUUUGAUAAGCAUUGUGCAAUUCAUCAGACGAGUCCUGUCUAGAUUUAUUUUGUAAAUCACUAGGAAAUUCUGAACGCAGCCUUUUCGAUACUAUAUUCUCUUCAUCUGUAACAGAACGCCUUUGUUUUCUAGAAUUUACAUCCGUUUCACUAUUUCUUUCACCUGAAGUUCUUGAAUGAGCACUUUGUUUGUGUGUGGAAGUUUCAGUAUUUUUUGAUGGUAACAUAAAAAUCUCUUAUUAUCACUGGUCAUAUAGUAACCGGAAUAACCAAUAAAGCAAGUUAUUUUUUUUAUGACUAAUGAUGUUAUUUUAUUGAUGUGUAUUUUUAUCAUUAAAUUAAUAAUACGAUCACUUUUGCUUAAUUAAAAAUAAUAACUAUUAGAAGAUUUUAUUUUCAAAAUCGGUAGAUCUACCUUCCUUUACCACCUUUUUCUUUUUUUAUUGAGCAUUGCACUACUUUAAUCUUGUCAAUAAUUAUCACCUCUCUGCAAUUUUUCCUCCUCAACAAUCUUGUUGAAUGAACUCGUUGUUUCAAAUUACUCUUGUUCUAUGGCUUCAUUAACUGAUAAACGUCCUAGUAAAAAAUUCUUUCCUAUUUCUUCGUUACAAUUUUUUAAUCACUUCAGCAGACCUUGAUUGUUUACUUUUACCCUAUUACCCCAACAAUAUAUACAUGUAUAUGAUAUGAAUAAUAUUAUUAGGCAAUGGCCUAUGUACGGAACGCUACGUGAUUUUACAAGUUCAAAAUAUUAUUGUGAGAUGGAGACACUAGCGGAUGGAAGGCGGGUAUGUCAGAGGGGGAAGGAUUGCUCGUGCUGUUUGAUGUAAUGUCGUGUUAGUAAGUGAUAUAUGUCGUCUAUCCAUGUUGUUUAGGACUUACGUUGAGAGUGGUUUAUUUGACCUCUAGGAGUAAAUUCAUGCUAUUGAAGUAAAUACAUGCGAUGAAUGAAAAUGACAUCUACAAAAGUCGAAGGAACUUUCACAAAUUCUUUGCAGCAACAAUAUCCAGUUGCAUCUAAACUGCAAACAGAAAAUUCCAAAGUUUUGGACACUAGAAUCAAAGAGAAUUCUAGUGAAACCUCGAGCAGAGAUGAAAGUAAAGUCAUAAACACAAUAGAUGUCACUAAAGAUGAGAGUGAACUUGCAAAAUGUAAUACAAGAGAAAUGGAGAACGAAGAGGAGGUGAUUAUCUUAGAAGGGCAUAAAGAAGAAAUGAAGUGUAACAUAGAUAAAGUAGAGAGUAGUCAAAGUACAGAAAAGUCAAAUGUACUUAUCCCUGUACCGAAAAACAAUCCUAGAAUUAGUAAGAGCACAAGUAUGAAAGAAGCAUCCAUGUUCAGAAGUACAAAUAAUUUAAAAAGAAAACAACGGAAUUUGGUUGUUCAAGAUGCAGACUUUCUCGCCGAGGAUAAUAAUUUGAGAAGUAAACGAAAGAAAAGAAGUACGAAUGAUAGGUUCUGUUGGCGUUGUCAUAAAGAAUCUGUAGAGGCUCAUUGUAGCGCAUGUCCCCGAUCAUGGCAUCGCAAAUGCAUAGGAAUGCAAUCAACAUCUAUCCAAAAUUGGAUAUGCGGAGAAUGCGCAGCUAUUUUGCGAGCAGAAAAUGCAGAAACACGUUCCACAGCAAUGGCACAAUUAUCUGUUGAUCAGUUGUGCUUAUUAUUAAAACAUGUAGUCGAGAGGAUGAGAGAGUAUCCUGGUUCGGAACCAUUUUGGAAACCAGUUGAACUUUCAGAAGCUCCGAAUUAUAUGGAUUACGUGGUGAAACCAAUGGAUUUAAGCCUUUUAGAAUCCAACGUGCGUGCGAAACUAUACGGCAGUACAGACGCAUUCAUGGCCGAUGCUAAAUGGAUACAACAUAAUUGUAUUGUAUUCAACACAUGUGGUGGUGUAUACACCGACACAUCGAAAUUAACAAAUGCUGCAAAACAGAUAAUUAAAUUGGCGCGUCAAGAAGUAUCAGAAAUCGAAGCUUGCCCGGAUUGUUAUGCUCAUGGAAGAAAUUUACCAAGACCACAACCGUCGUGGUUUAUUGAACCUUGCCGCCGUCCACAUCCACUGGUAUGGGCGAAAUUAAAAGGUUUUCCAUUUUGGCCAGCAAAGGCAAUGCCUCGUAUAAAUUCUCAAGGUUUUGUGGAUGUACGUUUUUUCGGAGAACAUGAUCGUGCUUGGGUACCACCGCGAGAUUUAUAUUUAUAUUCCGAGGACCCACCUGUCCCGUUGCCACGUAAAAGGAAAUUAGACAUGGAAGAAUGUGUUCGAGAAAUCACGCGACAUUGUCGGAAACUUGAGCUCGUGUUUGGUCAGUUUAAGUUUGCACCUCCCAAAGUACAAUAUAAUCCACACGACCCACUGCAGAUUAAAUUAAUGUUACCAAAUUACGAUCCCCUUCGCUCGAAUAAUUGUACAUUAUCGGAAUUUUCAACUCCUAAAAAAAAAACAUUUCUAAAGAAGCGACUACAUGGAAAAACAAAGUCGCAAAGUGAUUCGGAGAAAACCGACAAUUCUGACACUGAAAAUAAAAUAUCGAUAGAUUGUAACACGAGUUCCGAAUAUAAGAAAGACGAAGAUAAACUGCUGAAAGUACAAAACCUCGACCAGUCAAAUGAAGUUAAAUUGACCUCUGUUACAAGCAAUGGUUCCAAUACUUGUAUAAACUCAAGCGAAUCUGUGAUGAAGGAAGAGAAUACGAGCAUCGGUAAAAAUACAUUAACGAAUUCGAAAAUGAUAAACGAAGAUAACUCGAAACCUAGUACAAGUAAAACUGCAUAUGACAUAAACGACGGAAAUGAGAAGAACGCUUCGAAAAAUAUUGAUUCGAGCGAAUCGAACAUCGCUAUAACGGAACAGAAUAACAAUACUGGAAAAUUAGCGAACGAUAUCACAAAAUCAACAGAAGAUUUGCUGAAUGAAGGAGUGACGGAUUUUGGUAAAUACUCAACAGAUGAGCUUCAAUUGCUUAAGAAGGAAUUCUCCCCGUUGAAAGGUCACAUUAAUAAAGGCGAAGCAAAUCAAAGUUAUUCAAAUUGUUCGCAGAAGAAUAAUUUGAAAGGGUCGAAAGCUAUAGGAAAAGUUUACAAGCCAAAAACCAGAAUGGUCGAUAAAGUGAAUGCCGAGAAGGCUUUAAAAUCUUCUGUUAGCGAGGAAAAUCAAAGUUUGGUCAAGCAAGCAGACAUAAUGUCGUCGAAAGGUUCCUUAAAGCAUACCGACAGCGAUGUUUCAACGUCAGUUACCAACAAAGCUCAAGUUAAAGACGCCGCCGAGAAUACACAGAUAUCUAAUCAUGGUUUUGCCGAUCAAUCGGCAUUGCUUUUUGCUGUGAACAACGGUACACUCGAUUCUGGCACUAAAGUCAGAUCCACUGGUAGUUUAUCAGUGGUUGAGAAAGAGAAAACCGACGAUAUUUCGCCGAUUCAGCAAAAACAAUCGGAUGCAUCACAAAUCUCGCAUCAAAAGAAAGAGAGCAAAGCCCGUAAAUCACUUCCUAAUAAGACUCGUGCUUGUCCGCAACUUAUACCUCACUCGUCAACGAGUUUAUUGUCGAAUUCAAUCGAUUCUAUGGUUUAUAUUCCAGCUCAGCAGACAGAAAAUUGUCAAAUCGAAUAUCAAAUGCUUCCUCCAGAAGCAGGACCUAUAAGCGCUCGUUUGUACCAUGGUGCACAAGAUUUGGCUAGAAAAAUGGCUCAAUUAAUGGAGGAGGCAUACAAAGAAGCGGCUCGAGGAAAUCAAAAUUGUGAAAAUGCAACGUCUGAGAAUCACCAAGCAACAGUUCAUUUUUUACGAUUACAAAUAGAACGUAUGAGAUGGCAACAUCAACAACAACUAACUGAAUUGAAACACAAUACCGAUCGGGUAUUAAGGGAAAUGAAAGCAAGUUUGGAAGCCGAAAGAUUACGUGCUAUCGAAGAAACUCGUAGAGAAGCUGAAGAAGAAAGACUGCGAUGUAUUGAAGAAAUUAAACGUAAACAAUGGUGUGCAAUGUGUGGUCGUGAAGCAUUGUUUUACUGUUGCUGGAAUACGGCUUAUUGCGACUAUCCUUGUCAACAGUCACAUUGGCCGACUCAUAUGAGAACAUGCGCCCAAAAACCUUCGUUUACUACUAUCGUUACUAGUUCUGCUGCAAAUUCGAAUCAGCAGCAGGUGAUGCCACGACUUAUGAUAAAUACUCAACAUGUGACGUCAAAUAUAUGGAGGGCCUAGAGUGCAUCCGUGUAAGUCCUUAAAACCGAAGUCACAAUUUUCAAGUAUAAAUUUUUAUUUCAGACUUUUUCGUAAUACCCUAACACCUUGAUACUAUUAUUCCAUCUCCAUCGCCUUCGCAUUUUGUGUUUACAUUAUUUCCAACAUUUCGCUACCAUUGCAACUGGCAUCACCAGGGGUCUGUGGAUUCACUACUAAUACUGAUGACUCAGCGAAACGUUGGGAAAUCUUUCCUAAUGGACACGGUUUACACCCGGAAACUUUGAACACGCAUCACAGUAUAUCUGGUCGUGAAAGCCUCAAACAAAUCAUAUGAUAUCUGUGUUACAAAGAGACAUUGACUGUCAUACUGUAUGUGGUUUGUUUUAAUGUACUUACAGCACCGUUCAUAAAUAUUUGAUGAUUAACGUAUGGAAAUAUUAGGUUGCGUUAUGCUUUAAAAAUUUUACUAAUGAAUAGAUGAAAAUUAUUUAUUGUUUCAUUCAUUUGCAUAUCUACUCAAUAAUGUAACAAUAAGUUUCUUUAAUAUUUCUUUCUGAAUUUACUCUAAUUCGCAGUAAGCAGACAAUGCACGAGAUCACCUGAAAUCAUUAUAUUCAAGUAUUUUCAUCCAAUUAAUUUUUAUUGAAUCUUGAUUCUGUUAUUGCCUUUUUACUCAUCGUGAUAAGUGUUACGUAUUAUUUGUAUCAUUAUUACUUUUAUAUUAGGCGAGUAUCGUGAUAAAAGUUAUUACAUUGGAUAGUUUACUUCAAAUAUGUUUACAUAUGUAUUUCGAAUAAAAUGACGGUAGUCAAAUA